GAGAAAGCGUGCGUGUGUUUGUGUGAGAGAAAGCGUGCAUGUGUUUGUAUGAGAGAAAGCGUGCGUGUGUUUGUGUGAGAGAAAGCGUGCGUGUGUUUGUGUGAGAGAAAGUGUGUGUGUCAGAGAAAGUGUGCGUGUGUUUAUAUGAGAGAAAGCGUGCGUGUGUUUGUAUGAGAGAAAGCGUGCAUGUGUUUGUAUGAGAGAAAGCGUGCGUCUGUUUGUAUGAGAGAAAGCGUGCGUGUGUUUGUAUGAGAGAAAGCGUGUGUGUGUUUGUAUGAGAGAAAGCGUGUGUAUGAGAGAAAGCGUGUGUUUGUAUGAGAGAAAGUGUGCGUGUGUUUGUAUGAAAGAAAGCGUGUGUAUGAGAGAAAGCGUGUGUUUGUAUGAGAGAAAGCGUGUGUAUGAGAGAAAGCGUGUGUUUGUAUGAGAGAAAGCGUGUGUAUGAGAGAAAGCGUGUGUUUGUAUGAGAGAAAGCGCGCGUGUGUUUGUGUGAGAGAAAGCCGUCGUCUGUUUGUGUGAGAGAAAGCGUGCGUGUGUUUGUGUGAGAGAAAGCGUGCGUGUGUUUUCUGUGAGAGAAAGCGUGCGUGUGUUUGUAUGAGAGAAAGCGUGCGUGUGUUUGUGUGAGAGAAAGCGUGCGUGUGUUUGUGUGAGAGAAAGCGUGCGUGUGAGAGAAAGCGUGCGUGUGUUUGUAUGAGAGAAAGUGUGCGUGUGUUUGUAUGAGAGAAAGCGUGCGUGUGUUUGUGUGAGAGAAAGUGUGUGUAUGAGAGAAAGCGUGCGUGUGUUUGUGUGAGAGAAAGCGUGCGUGUGUUUGUAUGAGAGAAAGUGUGUGUAUGAGAGAAAGCGUGCGUGUGUUUGUAUGAGAGAAAGCGUGCGUGUGUUUGUGUGAGAGAAAGCGUGCGUGUGUUUGUGUGAGAGAAAGUGUGUGUAUGAGAGAAAGUGUGCGUAAAGCGUGCGUGUGUUUGUGUGAGAGAAAGUGUGCGUGUGUUUGUAUGAGAGAAAGCGUGCGUGUGUUUGUGUGAGAGAAAGUGUGUGUAUGAGAGAAAGCGUGCGUGUGUUUGUAUGAGAGAAAGUGUGUGUAUGAGAGAAAGCGUGCGUGUGUUUGUAUGAGAGAAAGCGUCGUGUGUUUGUGUGAGAGAAAGCGUGCGUGUUGUGUUUGUGAGAGAAAGUGUGCGUGUGUUUGUAUGAGAGAAAGCGUGCGUGUGUUUGUGUGAGAGAAAGCGUGCGUGUGUUUGUGUGAGAGAAAGUGUGUGUAUGAGAGAAAGUGUGCGUGUGUUUGUAUGAGAGAAAGCGUGCGUGUGUUUGUAUGAGAGAAAGUGUGUGUGUGAGAGAGA
ensembl:lncRNA